GCGGGUUCAGCCCGCGGGAUGUUCCCGGAAGGGAGAACCACAAA
rnacentral:ncRNA from 1 species